AAUUUAAUUUUAAUUUCAUAAUACUAUAAGAGUAAUUUAUAAAACAAAAGAGUAUUUUCUAUGUGAAUAAUUUCUUAUUUCAUGAUUAUAUUUUUGAGAAUAAUUAACACAUUUUAAAUUAGAACCUAAGCAAGAAAUCGAAUCAAUAAAUGCUGUAAAUUAAAUUGUUGCAUUUAUUUUUUUUCACAUCAAAAGAACUAGACUCAAGUGGAUAAGUUCAUUAUUGUCAGCCUCAAAUACAUGAGGCAAUUCUUGUUUUUAGCCGGACUGUUGGGCUUUUGAGCAAUAAUAAUUUUUUAAUGUUGGACAAUUUUUAUAUGCAAUAAAAAAACUCAAACUUCUCACACUGAAAGAACCAGACCAAACUUUUCAGAUGUAUAUUACAAUGACAAAUUCUACUAAAUAUCAACCUUUUUGUCAUCUUAAUUCUAUUUUUCACAUGCUAAAUGAUGUGAACUGCAUUUGAUAUACAAUUCAUAAAUCAUAUUCCUAACUAGUAAUG
rnacentral:lncRNA from 1 species